rnacentral:rRNA from 1 species
GUAGGGGGCGAGCGUUGUCCGGAAUUAUUGGGCGUAAAGCGCGCGUAGGCGGCUGGUUAAGUCCUGUGUGAAAGACCACGGCUCAACCGUGGGGGUGCACGGGAAACUGGCCGGCUUGAGUGCAGGAGAGGGGAGCGGAAUUCCCGGUGUAGCGGUGGAAUGCGUAGAGAUCGGGAGGAACACCAGUGGCGAAGGCGGCUCCCUGGCCUGUAACUGACGCUGAGGCGCGAAAGCGUGGGGAGCGAACAGGAUUAGAUACCCUGGUAGUCCACGCCGUAAACGAUGAGUGCUAGGUGUUGGGGCGGUCAGGCCCUCUGUGCCGAAGGUAACCCAAUAAGCACUCCGCCUGGGGAGUACGGCCGCAAGGCUG